rnacentral:rRNA from 1 species
UACGGAAGGUCCGGGCGUUAUCCGGAUUUAUUGGGUUUAAAGGGAGCGCAGGCGGUCCUUUAAGCGUGACGUGAAAUGCGGCGGCUCAACCGUCGAGCUGCGUCGCGAACUGGGGGACUUGAGUGCACUGGAGGAUGGCGGAAUUCGUGGUGUAGCGGUGAAAUGCUUAGAUAUCACGAAGAACCCCGAUUGCGAAGGCAGCUGUCCGCGGUGUUACUGACGCUCAUGCUCGAAAGUGCGGGUAUCGAAC